rnacentral:tRNA from 1 species
AACAUAGAAGUAAAAAAUUUACAUUUAGUUUCGACCUAAAAUUAAGGGUAAGCAAUAAAUCCUCAUGUUU